GACGUAGGGCGCGAGCGUUGUCCGGAUUUAUUGGGCGUAAAGAGCUCGUAGGCGGUUUGUCGCGUCUGCUGUGAAAUCCCGAGGCUCAACCUCGGGUCUGCAGUGGGUACGGGCAGGCUAGAGUGCGGUAGGGGAGAAUGGAACUCCUGGUGUAGCGGUGGAAUGCGCAGAUAUCAGGAAGAAUACCGAUGGCGAAGGCAGUUCUCUGGGCCGUAACUGACGCUGAGGAGCGAAAAGCGUGGGGGAGCGAACAGG
rnacentral:rRNA from 1 species